AUAGUUGCGCAGAUCUUGAAUGGACUAAUACUAGCCUUUUGUUGCAGGUGAUGCAGCAAGACUUGUUCUUCAUAACUCAUCUGGUUCUCUAGACUUGAUCAGAUUGGAGUACAGCUAGACAGAUAUUGUAAACAGAAUUCCUGCUGGAGAUAUGAGGAUCCUUUGGGGAUAAUGACACGUAAACCAGAAAAUAGUCUCUGCCUAGUCCAUGUAUGGAAUCUGACUUCAAACAAGAUGUCCUCUAUAUAUCAAUCUCUGCUUUUUACUCUAAAUGCUAGAGCCAACGUCACUUUCUUCCUGUUAUUUUCUAUAACAAAGUGCUAGGAUCACAUCCUGCUAUCACUCAUCAAGUAGGGUAUUUUAGCUAGAUUAAAGGAAACUGAGGAGGCAUAGUCCUGAAAAGCAGUGAAUUGUUUUGCACUCUGAUCCAAUAAGGUAAAGAUUUCUUGUAUGCUUCAGUGGCUCAACGAACAAAGUGUAUCUGCAAUUUGGAAAUCUUAGGUAAUAAGAAAUUUAGACACCUCGGUCUCUAAUCUCUCCUGUUAGAAAAUUUUAUCUCUGUGUUUACCAGGUAUUCAUAAAUAUACAUGCAGACAUAAAUAUAUUUCAGAGGUGCAAUUGCAGACCAAAUAUACAUGCUUUUCAUCCUCUCAUUAUCCUUCACAUUAAUUUUGUAUUUUUUUUGUCAGUUAUGUUAGUGGCUGCCACUCAGUUUGCUCCUUACACAGCAAUAUCUCAGUGUAGAAUUGCUCAUCACCCUUCAUUCAGAUUAAACAGAAGGAAGAAUUAAAUCUCUCUUAAACGCCAAUUAAAUGCUGAAACAGUGGGCUGUCACCAUCCACAGCAAGGUGCUGCUUGAAAAGGCUAGUCAGAAGCUAAGCCAUGAGAGCAAAAACACUAGCUGGAAAAGCAACAGCAAACAUGGGAUCCCCAUGGUUUGAGUGGCUGCAGCUGUGCAAGCGAAGCAGCAGGCCAACAGGCAGGCAGCGGGUGGUGUGUGCUGAAUGGACCUGGGAGAAAGCCAAACAGCACAUUUUCCACUGGCCGAGAUAGUUACAGAAAAGGCAAAUCCAGGAAUCUUAACAUGUAAGAUGCCCUCCCUAGUUGUUCCCAACAUACUGGGAGAAAGGGUAGAUGAUUAAAAAAUCCCAAACUAUUCCCAUGCAACAUCUAAACCAUACAGUAAAUUAUUUUUAUUCUGGCAAUCAAUGAAGAAGGCUCCAUGUACUGGCUAAUUGCUCAGGAUGAAAGGGCUGGUGGUUGAUAUUGUUUAAUAUCACUAGCAGCAAAGUCAGUGGAGUGACAAUAAAACUUCCUACUACAGUUUACAGUUUUUGUUUGGGGAAAGCUGACAAAUAGAUUGCCUCUGAGGUGUCUUUUAAUAGAAUAGGUUGGAAUGUAUCAUAAAAAUAUUUAAAAAGUGAAAGGCAUGGAAAAUAUCCUCUUGUUGCAAUGACUUUCAUUUUGGUACAAAUUGGAAAAACGGGUUUAUGUUAUUUAAAUUUGUAGUUGGUUGCAUUUUUAUACUUAAUAUGGUUUUAUUUUAUAUUGACAAUGAUGUGAUUUAUAACGGUUUCUCACAUACUCCCAUAAUUCUAAUAUAUGUUUCAUGGAAGUCUUGUGAAAUAUUUCCUGAAUCCACCAGUAACUCAUAUCUGACAAACCUACUGUUAUCAUUAGUGUGAGAAUGUGAGAUUUGAUUUAGCUCAAAUUCUGCUUUCAAUCAGAAAUCCUCUUUGACUUGCUAUAGCAGACAUUUUGGAGAGGUUGAUAUGUUCUGCUCUUUAAUUCUACUUGUUCUCUUCUACUUUAAAUUGUCAAAUUAAGGCAUAAAACCCACACCUCCCUCAUGAACCUCAAAUUCGUUCUUGUUUGUGAAUGUGACAGUAUCCUUUGUUUGAGGAAUGAGACCAUCUAUCAAAUAUCUUGCUAAUUUACCCUUUGGAAUUUGUUAACAAGGCAGGAUUUGGUUUUCGGCUGACCAAAGCAGUAUUUUCUGUAAUAGGUGUAGGUAGUUUAUUAACUUCCAUGAGCUCUCAUGGGAGUGGAAAACUAUUUGUCCAAAGCUGAUUCAUAUUUUUCUGUGAUGCAAUCAGAUAUUCAUGACUUGAAUCAGUUGAUACUGUAAAUGUUCUGCCUUUCAUGCAAUUACGUGUGCAUGAACUAUCAUCUUGAAAGGUUUAGUAAGAAUUAAGGUCUUGUCAACCUCGUCAACCUAAGAAAUAAUUACAUAUAAUGAAAGAAUAAAAUGAGAAACAUAGGGAAAGAGUGACAAACUGCUGAUAAAAUGUAGAUUUAGGGUACUGACAUAAAAAUCAUUUGUAUGUAAGUAUAUAUAUAUACUGGCAUUAAAGUAAUUUAUACUAAUUUUGAUUUU